GGCAGCAUGUCUUAGCUUGCUAAGGCGAUGGCGACCGGCGCACGGGUGAGUAACGCGUAUCCACCUGCCUUACACUCUUGGACAGCCUUCUGAAAGGGAGAUUAAUACAAGAUGUUUAAGCAUUCGUAAAGGUUUCCGGUGUAAGAUGGGGAUGCGUUCCAUUAGAUAGUAGGCGGGGUAACGGCCCACCUAGUCUUCGAUGGAUAGGGGUUCUGAGAGGAAGGUCCCCCACAUUGGAACUGAGACACGGUCCAAACUCUACGGGAGGCAGCAGUGAGGAAUAUUGGUCAAUGGACGAGAGUCUGAACCAGCCAAGUAGCGUGAAGGAUGAAGGUUUAUGGAUUGUAAACUUCUUUUAUACGGGAAUAACGGAUCCACGUGUGGAUUUUUGCAUGUACCGUAUGAAUAAGGAUCGGCUAACUCCGUGCCAGCAGCCGCGGUAAUACGGAGGAUCCGAGCGUUAUCCGGAUUUAUUGGGUUUAAAGGGAGCGUAGAUGGGUUGUUAAGUCAGUUGUGAAAGUUUGCGGCUCAACCGUAAAAUUGCAAUUGAUACUGGCAGUCUUGAGUACAGUUGAGGUAGGCGGAAUUCGUGGUGUAGCGGUGAAAUGC
rnacentral:rRNA from 1 species